GGCACCGGAGGGGAGGUGAUCCGGGUGAGUGCCGGUGAGCAAGGGGAUCUGCCACCUUCUCACAGACAGUCCAGUGCUUCAGGGACCCUGCUGGUAAGAGGUCACUGUGGAGGAGAGAGAAUGUGUGCAGCCUCAGAGGGCUGCAGCCACCUGUCAAUUAGGUUUGAUGGUCUU